rnacentral:tRNA from 1 species
GGGCCUGAAGUUUAGCUGGUUGAACGCCUCGUUUGCAACGAGGAGGUAGGGAGUUCGAGUCUCCUCAGGUCCACAA